GGGUAGAGCAAAGGAGGGAGGGGAGGUGGGGGAGGAGACGCAUCGACGCAGUCAGGAAGAGGAGAUGGGACGGAGAAACAGCUGGGGGAUGAGUGGCGGAAGGAGGAAGAAGAGGACGAGAGAGAGAGAGAGAAAGAGAGAGAGGGAAAAGAGGCUUUAGCAAAAGCUCAAGUAAGAUGUACAAGUUUGUCAACCAGCUGCUACUGGUUCAAUACAUGUUGUUCCAACAAACAGUGGUUAGCUGCGCUCUGCUGCUCUAUCGCCACACUAGAUGCUUGCUCGUCCUUGUUUGACACACUGUUGGUCCAAAAACGGUCUCAUGUGGGAUGGCGGAAGAGCAACAGCAUGUAAUGUUCAAAUAAAGACAUAUGAGGUGGAUGGACAUUCCACUUUUAGGCCCAGUUGGAUAUGAUGAUGUGUUUUUUGAUAAAAGUUGACUUCAUGAUGUGAAACGUUGGGCUCAUAAGAAACUAAACGAAUGCUGUUCUGCUGUACCUUUUUUUUUUAACAAAGGUUCUGCGUGCGUAGUCUUUCAUUCAACUGGAGCUGCCCAUGACUCGUCCCUUUAAAUGUGUCUGUCUAUCUAAUACCCAAUAGCUCUUUACUGAAUAAGACCUGCUUCCAUGGUUAAAACCAGCUGCUGCUAGUGGCUUCCACAAACAGAGCCAAAUAAUGCAAUAUGAUGCACUUGUCCUAAUUUGUUUGAAUAAAAUGUUUUUGUUUCUUGAA